rnacentral:misc_RNA from 1 species
UUGUUGUUGCUGUUGAAGCUCUCAUAAUUCAGGUCUUUUAUCUCUGAUGCGGAGACUGAAGCAAGAAGUGGUGGCUCUUCACUCGCCUUGUCAUCGGAUUCGGCCAAGAUUAUUUCUUCUUUGACAGAAACAUUGCUAUCUGCGUUCUCUUCGUUUAGCUUCGCCUUCAUUUCUUUUAUCUCUUUGAGUAGAGCUUCAUUGUCAUGUUGGAGGGACUCAAAAUU